GGGGUUGUGGCUCAGUGGUAGUGCACUUGCCUGGCAUGCAUGAGGCACUGGGUUUGAUUCUCGGCACCA
rnacentral:tRNA from 1 species